UUAGGAAUCUUCCACAAUGGGCGCAAGCCUGAUGGAGCGACACUGCGUGAAGGAUGAAGGUUUUCGGAUCGUAAACUUCUGAACGAGGGACGAAAGAUGACGGUACCUCGCUAAAAGCACCGGCUAACUCCGUGCCAGCAGCCGCGGUAAUACGGAGGGUGCAAGCGUUAUCCGGAAUCACUGGGCGUAAAGGGCACGUAGGCGGUCAAGUACGUCCGAUGUUAAAGCGUGGUGCUCAACCCCAUCACGGCCAUGGAUACUGCUAGGCUUGACGACUGGAGAGGUGAGUAGAAUUACCAGUGUAGCGGUGGAAUGCGUAGAUACUGGUAGGAAUACCCAUUGCGAAGGCAGCUCACUGGACAGUACGUGACGCUGAGGUGCGAAAGGGUGGGGAGCAAACCGGAUUAGAUACCCCCGUAGUCC
rnacentral:rRNA from 1 species